UAUUGGGCGUAAAGCGAGCGCAGGCGGUUUUUUAAGUCUGAUGUGAAAGCCCUCGGCUUAACCGAGGAAGCGCAUCGGAAACUGGGAAACUUGAGUGCAGAAGAGGACAGUGGAACUCCAUGUGUAGCGGUGAAAUGCGUAGAUAUAUGGAAGAACACCAGUGGCGAAGGCGGCUGUCUGGUCUGUAACUGACGCUGAGGCUCGAAAGCAUGGGUAGCGAACAGGAUUAGAUACCCUGGUAGUCCAUGCCGUAAACGAUGAAUGCUAGGUGUUGGAGGGUUUCCGCCCUUCAGUGCCGCAGCUAACGCAUUAAGCAUUCCGCCUGGGGAGUACGACCGCAAGGUUGAAACUCAAAGGAAUUGACGGGGGCCCGCACAAGCGGUGGAGCAUGUGGUUUAAUUCGAAGCAACGCGAAGAACCUUACCAGGUCUUGACAUCUUUUGAUCACCUGAGAGAUCAGGUUUCCCCUUCGGGGGCAAAAUGACAGGUGGUGCAUGGUUGUCGUCAGCUCGUGUCGUGAGAUGUUGGGUUAAGUCCCGCAACGAGCGCAACCCUUAUGACUAGUUGCCAGCAUUUAGUUGGGCACUCUAGUAAGACUGCCGGUGACAAACCGGAGGAAGGUGGGGAUGACGUCAAAUCAUCAUGCCCCUUAUGACCUGGGCUACACACGUGCUACAAUGGAUGGUACAACGAGUUGCGAGACCGCGAGGUCAAGCUAAUCUCUUAAAGCCAUUCUCAGUUCGGACUGUAGGCUGCAACUCGCCUACACGAAGUCGGAAUCGCUAGUAAUCGCGG
rnacentral:rRNA from 2 species